ensembl:lncRNA
UAACAUGGCUGCUCGGGCUGCCGGUCACUAGCGGCAGCCACCGGGUAUCAUUGCCGGUUUGUGUUGUCAAUUAGCGGGUUACUUGUUGUUCCUUUGUUGCAGUAAUUACUCCUGAAGUCAAUUGAGAAGUUCAACUCAGAGCAGACACGUGUCAGCUGCUGCGAAAACACUAAAGAAAAGGCCAAUCUGCUGCCAACGGACAGCCUCUCCCAACAUAUUGGUGAGCACAUCCAACCCUCGCUGAGUGGUUCAGGAGAAAAAGAGCAGCAACAAAGGAAACGAGAGGCCACCUGCACAGUCAUCCAUCUCUCAACUUUUAUGAACCCAUUCGGACCUGCAAGGUCUUGGCACCGCGCCACAUGACUUGUGUGCAGCCACUGACAUGACUGACCGCUGUUCAAAUCCACUGGGACCGAAACCACCCUUCAGUUUCAUCGUCCACGUGUCUUUGCUUCUUUAGCAAAACACCAAGCUCCCCCUCUGUUAUGUUAAAAACCUUAUUUUACUUUUGUUGUUUGCAGUCAUAAAAAAGAAGGGGUUUCCCCAAUUUUGCUGUACUUAUCCCGACCAGCAGAGUGCGCCACUUUGGCAGUGCAGCCUGAGGGGAGAUUAACCUGCAGGUCUCUGAGUAAAAGGGAGGACACACACACACACACACAAAUUCAAAAACUCUCUCGCUGUGAAAGAAGUAUACACAUGCAAGGGUGCCGACGCAGGUUCAAUGACUUUGAUCGUGUAAUUCCUGCGUAAUCUCUGUAAUCUUUUAAAGCAGAGCUGUUUAAAUGUAUGUUGCAUGUGCGCAAUUGUGAGUGUGUGUGUGUGUGUGUGUGAGUGAAGAUGUGUGAAAUGUUCACUGGAUUAACAAGAUGAAGCAGAGGCCGGGAAUACAGCUAAAGAGAAAUCUUUAAGAAUCAAACGUUCUUUCAGAUUUCUGCUCAGACCAGCAGGCUGGAGUUGGAGGCUGCGCGUGUUGUGUUUAUGACACAAAGAAAUUCUCAUAUUCAGCUUGUUUAAAGAGUUCAUUCGGUGUCUUAUCCGUGGAGUGGGUGUGAGUUUUAUUUGGCAGCUGAACAGAUAUUUUCUACACUCUGCAGUCUUCACAUCAGGCAGCACACUUUGACCGACCUGUCAUUGUAAUUAUAAGGUUCUAUUGGAUGUAAGUCAGUGAUGAUACUUCUCUUUGUUGCAUGACAACAAUUGAAAAUCACAUGGAUGCGAGCAAAAUAAAUCACGAUCAUGA